GAUGACGUCAGAAGGCGCGCAGCUUCACUUUAGCCCAGGCGGGAGGCGGGAGGUGCGACGUCGGCCCAGGUGACGCCCCGCAGGCCGGCGGGCCGCUGCCAUCGCGAGGAGCAUUUGAAGCCUUCCCUGAAUUUAGCUGAGACUUAAGUCAGAAGCCUGUAACUUCCAGAAAGAUACUGAAUUUGUUGGAUUGUUUUCUUUAGGAACAUUUACUUGGAAAUAUUCUAUCUCAGAAAUGUACCAGAUUAAAAAUGACUGCAUAUGCUUUGAUACUGCUCCCCUCACCUGAGCUAACCUGUGUCUGAUUUGACAGUUCCAGACAUAAGCUUUAAGAGGACUAGCAGCUCCUACCUUGCUCUACUGGACCCUUGAGCUCCCAUGUAAAGCAAGAGAAGGGGCCAGCUGAACCCAGGAUGACAGCCAUCUCCACUCGGUACCAGGCUUGUAAGUGAAGCCAUCUCGGACCCACCAUACCAGCUGCCGGUGAAAUUCUAAAUGACCCCAACCAACACUAUUAGAGCAGAAAAAUCACCUAGUCAAAACUUGCCUGAAUUCCCUGACAGUAGUGUGAGUGUAAUAAAAUAAUUGUUCUUUUAAGGUGGUAACUUUUGGGAUAGUUUGUUGUGAAAUGAUAAGUAACCGGAACAGAAAUAUUGUAAAGAACCCAAAACGGAACCAUGAAUAAACAUGAACAGAAUAUUCAUGCUUA